rnacentral:rRNA from 1 species
AAUAGUUUCUUUGGUGGUGACCUACUACAUGGAUAACCGUAGUAAUUCUAGAGCUAAUACAUGCGUAAAUCUCGACUCACGAAGAAACGUAUUUAUUAGAUAAAGACCGACCUCGUUCUGCGGUGAAUCAUAAUAACUUCACGGACCGCAUGGCUUUAUGCCGGCGGUGUUCCAUUCAAAUUUCUGCCCUAUCAACUUUCGACGGUAGGAUAGAGGCCUACCGUGGUGUUCACGGGUGACGGAGAAUUAGGGUUCGAUUCCGGAGAGGGAGCCUGAGAAACGGCUACCACA